GAUGAACGCUAGCGGCAGGCCUAAUACAUGCAAGUCGAACAGUGUCUUCGGACAUAGUGGCGCACGGGUGCGUAACACGUAUGCAACCUACCUUACAUUGGGGGAUAGCCUUUCGAAAGGGAGAUUAAUACCGCAUAAGACAGUAGCUGGGCAUCCAGCAGCUGUUAAAGAUUUAUCGAUGUAAGCUGGGCAUGCGUCCAAUUAGCUAGUUGGUGAGGUAACGGCGCAUCAAGGCAAUGAUUGGUAGGGGAACUGAGAGGUCAAUCCCCCACACUGGCGCUGGGAUACGGGCCAGACUCCUACGGGAGGCAGCGGUAGGGAAUAUUGGGCAAUGGACGCAAGUCUGACCCAGCCAUGCCGCGUGCAGGAUGAAGGCGUUAUGCGUUGUAAACUGCUUUUAUACAGGAAGAAACGACUCUUGCGAGAGGCAUUGACGGUACUGUAUGAAUAAGCACCGGCUAACUCCGUGCCAGCCGCCGCGGUAAAAC
rnacentral:rRNA from 1 species